rnacentral:rRNA from 1 species
AGGACGAACGCUGGCGGCGUGCUUAACACAUGCAAGUGGAGCGACGAACCAGGGCUUGCCCUGGGGCAGAGCCGCGAACGGGUGAGUAACACGUGGGUUACCUGCCUCGAUGACCGGGACAACCCGAGGAAACUCGGGCUAAUACCGGAUGUGCCCGCAAGGGGAAAGGAAGCUUCGGCCUCCGCAUCGAGAUGGGCCCGCGGCCCAUUAGCUUGUUGGUGAGGUAACGGCUCACCAAGGCUUCGAUGGGUAGCUGGUCUGAGAGGACGAUCAGCCACACUGGGACUGAGACACGGUCCAGACUCCUACGGGAGGCAGCAGUGGGGAAUAUUGCACAAUGGGCGCAAGCCUGAUGCAGCGACGUCGCGUGGAGGAGGAAGGUCUUCGGAUCGGUAAACUCCUGUUAAACGGGAAGAAAGACUCGAGGUUAAUAUCCUCGGGGAUGACGUUACCGUUAAGAAGCACCGGCUAACUUCGUGCCAGCAGCCGCGGU